rnacentral:rRNA from 1 species
AAAUUGAAGAGUUUGAUCAUGGCUCAGAUUGAACGCUGGCGGCAGGCCUAACACAUGCAAGUCGAGCGGUAACACAGGGAGCUUGCUCCCGGGUGACGAGCGGCGGACGGGUGAGUAAUGUCUGGGAAACUGCCUGGUGGAGGGGGAUAACUACUGGAAACGGUAGCUAAUACCGCAUAACGUCGCAAGACCAAAGAGGGGGACCUUCGGGCCUCUUGCCAUCAGAUGUGCCCAGAUGGGAUUAGCUAGUAGGUGGGGUAAUGGCUCACCUAGGCGACGAUCCCUAGCUGGUCUGAGAGGAUGACCAGCCACACUGGAACUGAGACACGGUCCAGACUCCUACGGGAGGCAGCAGUGGGGAAUAUUGCACAAUGGGCGCAAGCCUGAUGCAGCCAUGCCGCGUGUAUGAAGAAGGCCUUCGGGUUGUAAAGUACUUUCAGCGGGGAGGAAGGUGUUGAGGUUAAUAACCUCAGCAAUUGACGUUACCCGCAGAAGAAGCACCGGCUAACUCCGUGCCAGCAGCCGCGGUAAUACGGAGGGUGCAAGCGUUAAUCGGAAUUACUGGGCGUAAAGCGCACGCAGGCGGUCUGUCAAGUCGGAUGUGAAAUCCCCGGGCUCAACCUGGGAACUGCAUUCGAAACUGGCAGGCUAGAGUCUUGUAGAGGGGGUAGAAUUCAGGUGUAGCGGUGAAAUGCGUAGAGAUCUGGAGGAAUACCGGUGGCGAAGGCGGCCCCUGGACAAAGACUGACGCUCAGGUGCGAAAGCGUGGGGAGCAAACAGGAUUAGAUACCCUGGUAGUCCACGCCGUAAACGAUGUCGACUUGGAGGUUGUGCCCUUGAGGCGUGGCUUCCGGAGCUAACGCGUUAAGUCGACCGCCUGGGGAGUACGGCCGCAAGGUUAAAACUCAAAUGAAUUGACGGGGCCCGCACAAGCGGUGGAGCAUGUGGUUUAAUUCGAUGCAACGCGAAGAACCUUACCUACUCUUGACAUCCAGAGAACUUAGCAGAGAUGCUUUGGUGCCUUCGGGAACUCUGAGACAGGUGCUGCAUGGCUGUCGUCAGCUCGUGUUGUGAAAUGUUGGGUUAAGUCCCGCAACGAGCGCAACCCUUAUCCUUUGUUGCCAGCGGUUAGGCCGGGAACUCAAAGGAGACUGCCAGUGAUAAACUGGAGGAAGGUGGGGAUGACGUCAAGUCAUCAUGGCCCUUACGAGUAGGGCUACACACGUGCUACAAUGGCGCAUACAAAGAGAAGCGACCUCGCGAGAGCAAGCGGACCUCAUAAAGUGCGUCGUAGUCCGGAUUGAGUCUGCAACUCGACUCCAUGAAGUCGGAAUCGCUAGUAAUCGUAGAUCAGAAUGCUACGGUGAAUACGUUCCCGGGCCUUGUACACACCGCCCGUCACACCAUGGGAGUGGGUUGCAAAAGAAGUAGGUAGCUUAACCUUCGGGAGGGCGCUUACCACUUUGUGAUUCAUGACUGGGGUGAAGUCGUAACAAGGUAACCGUAGGGGAACCUGCGGUUGGAUCACCUCCUUA